UACGUAGGGGGCAAGCGUUGUCCGGAUUUAUUGGGCGUAAAGAGCUCGUAGGCGGUCUGUCGCGUCGGCUGUGAAAACCCGAGGCUCAACCUCGGGCCUGCAGUCGAUACGGGCAAACUAGAGUACUGCAGGGGAGACUGGAAUUCCUGGUGUAGCGGUGAAAUGCGCAGAUAUCAGGAGGAACACCGGUGGCGAAGGCGGGUCUCUGGGCAGUAACUGACGCUGGAGGAGCGAAAGCGUGGGGAGCGAACAGG
rnacentral:rRNA from 1 species